UCCCUAUGAGGAAGCAUUCCCAUUCGAUAGGAAGUGCCGUAUGACACUUUACACCGGCGGUGCA